GCUUAGGGUGUGGGUAUAUAGUCUCUGUAGGUACGGGGCUAGUAUUGAUGCAAAUUUUUUGUAGGUUGGUCAGUCUGUCUAGUAUUUCUUGUAUCGUGAUGGGGUCCUGUAUGGCUGCUGACAAUAUGGGCAGUGUAGUCUUUCUAAGGAAAUCAGCUAUUUCUUGUUCUGUGGGUUGGUGUAGGUUAGGAUCACGUUUUAAGUUGUAUAGCGUGUGAUAAGUCUGCCAUCUCGUUAUCUCCGGGGUUGUGGAUUUUGUCCCCUGCUCGGGUGAGUAGAUAUGGGAUUUUGGAGUUGGCUUGUUUUUGUUUUAAUAAUGUUGCUAGAUGUUUUCUGGCUUUGUUGCCUUGAGCAUAUGUUUUCAUUUUCAAUUUGGUUAGUAUAUGGGCUGUCUUGUUUAGGGUGAUGUUAUUGAUUUGUGUGUCUGCAAUUUCUUUGGCCAGUAACUCAGAGAGGUGCAAAAAUUGCGCGUUUGUAGCGUCUCUAAGUUUCCUAAAGAGGUCUGUGUUCUUUGUCACGUUGUUUUUUUUUUUUUUGAGAUAUGAUGCGUGGCUGAGUAGCU